rnacentral:rRNA from 1 species
GUGGGGAAUAUUGGACAAUGGGCGCAAGCCUGAUCCAGCAACGCCGCGUGGAGGAUGAAGGUCUUCGGAUUGUAAACUCCUGUUAGGGGGAACGAAAGGCCGCGGGCGAACAGUCCGUGGCUCUGACGGUACUCCCAGAGGAAGCCCCGGCUAACUCUGUGCCAGCAGCCGCGGUAAUACAGAGGGGGCGAGCGUUAUUCGGAAUCAUUGGGCGUAAAGGGCGUGUAGGCGGCUUGACAAGUCGAAGGUGAAAUCCCUCGGCCUAACCGAGGAACUGCCUUCGAAACUGUCUCGCUCGAGGCCGGGAGAGGGUAGUGGAAUUCCCAGUGUAGCGGUGAAAUGCGUAGAUAUUGGGAGGAACACCGGUGGCGAAGGCGGCUACCUGGACCGGUUCUGACGCUAAAGCGCGAAAGCGUGGGGAGCAAACAGGAUUAGAUACCCUUGUAGUCC